CCCCCCGAUGGUAUGCAGUUACCUAAUGCUCACAGCACCGUGAUGUCCCUAGGAGUGCUGCAAAGAAGAUGCUGUUUUAUCGCUGUGAUCCUGUUUUCCUUACCAACCCUUUAGUUAGUAAAGGGGCAAAGAUCUGUGAUGUUGGAUACCAGAGCUCUCUCGCUGCAUUUAUGCCCUGUACGGAUGAUCUUGUUCUCAUCUUUGCAUGAGAUCACAAGCAGGGAGUGGUGUUUCACAAGCUUUCAUCCAGCUGCAGCUGAACGGAUUCAGGUGUUAGGGGGUUGUGCAUCCUGAGAGGAGGUGGCAGCUUGGUUUCCACCUAGGUCUUUGGCUUGAGAACAUCUUGGUCUUUCACGGGACAAAAUUACGAUUGUAAAAGUUGCAAGGCAGGACCCUAAACUAUUGAAUGGCGUUUAUUUUCCUUCCUGCCUUGGAAUUCCAGGAACUUUCCUUCAGCUUUGGGGUAGCAAAAUGUUUCCUUUGUUAUGCAGAGGCAGAGUCCUGGGCUAAAAGCUAAUGAGUGUCAUUAGAGCAGAUAAAGCAGAGAUACUAGGCAGCAAAUGGCUUCUCUUUAAAGCUAAACCAAACCUGUUAGUUCGGGGUUUCAGCCUGAACUUCGGUUUCGUCCUGUUUCUGAGUGGGAGGCAGUAAGGGGGGGUGAGGUGAGGCAUGCCAGGAGACAUGAUGUCAAAUCUGGCUUUUGAGCAGAUCUACCUGGGCAGCCUCACCUGCUUUCCUUGGGCAGAGCUCAAGACACAGAAGUGCCUUAUUCUCAAAGGUUUCAGAGGUCAUUUGGGUCCCUAAAUACCCAUGGGGAUUUGGACUUAGUUUCUACUCUGCUCUUAAAGAAGGAUUUAAUAGCACUUUCUUAUCCCCUGGAUAUCACAUACACGAUGAUAUCAAGAUAGACAAGAGAGACAAAGACCAAAAAAGUCACUGGCGAGAUCCAGAAGUUUGAUAUUUAAGUAAAACUUUCUUCAUACUUUUUUUGUUUCCAUGCAGGUGGAGUUAGUUUGCAGCUUUUGCUGUUCGUGCAGCUGUUCCAGUUGUGCUUAAACUGGUUUCCAAAAGGGUCCUGGUCAAUUUAAAAAGGUUAUCUGUAAGCAGCUGGGAAGCUGGAUUUCUAUCAAAAGUUAGGAAGUUGGACUUGUUACUUUUUGGAUCAAGGGCAGGGGGCUUCUCCAGCAACCUGGCUCUUUCCUUGCCACAAGCAGACACAAUGUGUCGAGCUCUAAACCUGAACUGGUUUCUUUGUGGAGUACAAGACAUUGUGAUUCCUAAACAGAGUAUGAAAGCUGUUUCCUAUGCCUCAGAAACAGGCCAUUGUAAUGGGGUUUUGAUACUGAUGGUGUCAGUUAAUGUUUUAAAGCUAUUGCAGAUGCUCCCAUGGCUUAAGGACACUUACUCUUGGCUCUCAGCUCAUUUUCUUCAGGUGUCUGAUAGCAGGUUCCUGGCUGAGCUGUGAUGUGACUUCUGGCAGUUGACCUGACAACCUUGGAGCAGUUAAAGACCAACUGCGAGGUGCUCUAAGGGGUCAUGACUCAAAGGCCAGGCGACCUGCAAGCUGGGAAAGCUGGCUUCGCCCAUCUGUCCUUCAACUACCAUGUGCCAGUGACUUUACACCAUGCUGCAGUUCUGAAGCUUUCUGAAUAUCAACUAUACUUCUUCAUCCUUCCCCCCUGCGCCAAGAAGUCACAAACGUCCCCACCUUAGAGUUACUUUGUGACUGAUAAUUUCUCAUUUCUAUAUAGGGAAAGCCAAAGUAAGCAGCAGAGCUCAAGAAAGAGCUGAUGGCUCCUAGCGCCAGUGGCUCAGUCUCUCGUACCUCCAGGGACCAUCAUGCCUUGUUAGGAAAAAAGAAAAGGAAAAAAGGACUAUUGUGUGCAGGGAGACUGUCCUGGCUUAGUAGAGAAGAGAGGAGGGGGUCUGGUGCUCACAGGUGACUGAGCAGUCCCCAGCAGAGAGGCACUUCUGCUGUGUGUCAUCCUGGUCCCUAUCAUGGUGCUGUUGGGGUCUGGCCCUUCCUUUGUGUCCUACUGCUGCAGGACGAGGGACUCGCAGUAAAAAUGGGUGUUUAAGCUCCCAAAGUAA